UACGAACUGUGCAAACGUUAUUCGGAUUCACUGGGCUUAAAGGGUGCGUAGGCGGCCAUGUAAGUAGGGUGUGAAAUCCCCCGGCUUAACUGGGGAACUGCGCCCUAAACUGUAUGGCUGGAGUGAGAUAGGGGUGUGUGGAACUUCCGGUGGAGCGGUGAAAUGUGUUGAUAUCGGAAGGAACGCCGGUGGCGAAAGCGACACACUGGGUCUCAACUGACGCUGAGGCACGAAAGCCAGGGGAGCGAACGGG
rnacentral:rRNA from 1 species